rnacentral:siRNA from 1 species
AAGACAAAUAAGAACGUCACACGAUC